CAUAAUCGGCCUCACUCGCCGCCACGCUCUCCCGAAACUCCAGGAGCGCGGGGGCUCGCCCUACGGCAAUCCCAACAUCACCUAUCUCUCCGCCUAUGGGAGGAGAGCCCUGUUGGACCUCUCCCGUUCCUCCCCCGCCCAGCGCUUCAUCCUGUAUCAACGCCGGUUUCUACUCACGCGCCUCCCGCUGGGUGGGACCCCCGCCUCGUUGAGGAGUCGUACCGAUGGGUGGAGACCACGUUGCGGCAGUGGAAGGCGGCGGUGAGGGAUGGAUUGCUCCAGGCUGGCGUUGCUCCUUAUAAUGGAUUUACGUAUGACCAUUUAAUCGGCGGCACUAUAUUUGACGGCAGAUCUAAUGCUGGAGUAUGCUUACUGUGUUGCUAAAUGCUACGGUUCAAAAUAUCUUGUUCACCACUCAAGGUAUUGUAGUAAUUUUAUAGUAUCAAUAUUUUACCAAAAUUUGAUAGGGAAGAAGAGGCCAACUGCUAAAGGAAAGAUGCGUAUGGGAAGAAUCACACAGCAUACUUAAAACAAGAGCCCAACAAUGAGGUUAUAUUAUCAGCUGGGGCAGUUGGAAGCCCUCUCAACUGUUAAUGCUGAGUGGGAUAGGCCCAUAAUAUAACAGUUGUUAUGGACCAACCUUUUGUGGGCCAAAUAAAUCAAGUUGCCUAAUUUGAUAAAUACAGAUCUCCGCACAAGCCCAAGCCCAAGCCCCAGAUCAAGGGGGAUUCAUAUUUGCAAAAGUGCAGGGCCUCUCUAGAGGUUAGUUGAAGCUCAAAAAUAAAGAUCCUAAUUGGCAACCCUCUUGUUAGAUUUAAUUAUUUCAACAACUCUAUAGACUUGGAAAGAUGUGUUUAUGGCCUCAAAAUUAUAGCCAACGUAGUCGAGUCGAAACCCUUCAAAUUCGAGAAUUAUUCACUGCCUGAAUGACACGACGUCGUUGGAGCAAUAUUGCAGGCAGACUGUGAGGACCAUUUGGCAUUACCAUGGAGGGUGGUGGAUCAUGAUUAUAAGGUUGUUGGAGUCGAUGCUUUACGAGUUGUUCAUGGUUCCACCUUUUAUACCAGUCAGUCCUGGAACUAAUCCUCAGGUCAGGCCACUGUUAUGCUGCUUGGAAGGUAUGUGGGAGUGAAGAUGCUGAAGGAGAGAAUUGAUAUCUCGCGGAAAAGUGACUGUUAAAUUAGUUGUAAUUUAUGAGACGUGAAAUAGCUAUUGCAAUGCGAAUUAGUAUAUUCGACCGUUUCGAUGGAUAUGGGAUGUUUCAUGUAAAUAAGAAAUAAACAAUAAUUGCCUUUAGAAUAUUAAACUAGUACAUUUUUUUUGUUUAUAAAA